AUUGAACGCUGGCGGCAGGCUUAACACAUGCAAGUCGAGCGGGGGAAAGUACUUCGGUACUGACCUUAGCGGCGGACGGGUGAGUACUACUUAGGAUUCUGCCUAUUAGUGGGGGACAACAUUUCGAAAGGGAUGCUAAUACCGCAUACGUCCUACGGGCGACAGCAGGGGAUCUUUAUGACCUUGCGCUAAUAGCUGAGCCAAGGUCGGAUUGGGUAGUUGGUGGGGUAAAGGCAUACGAAGGCGACGAUCUGUAGCGGGUCUGAGAGGCUGAUCCGCCACACUGGGGCGGAGACACGGCCCGGCCGCCUAGAGGAGGCAGGAGUAGGGAAUAGUGUACAAUGGAGGGAACCCUGAGCCAGCCAUGCCGCGUGUGUGAAGAAGGCCUUAUGGUUGUAAAGCACUUUAAGCGAGGAGGAGGCUCUUUGGGUUAAUACCCAAGAUGAGUGGACGUUACUCGCAGAAUAAGCACCGGCUAACUCUGUGCCAGCCGCCGCGGUAA
rnacentral:rRNA from 1 species